GGAAGUUGAAGUACGGGCUUGCUAUUUACAUGCGGUGGAGAAAAUGCAAGAGCUAAUAAGUAAAAGUCAAGAAGACAGGUUAGUCUUUUCUUACCAGAAUAUCUUCCCCUCAUGGCCAUUUUCCAAUGCAUGUAGAGUUGGAUUUCUUCUAAGGUUAUUAAGGAAACAAUUGAUUCCAAUAUUACAAUAGAAUACAAGUCAAACACAGUUGAUGAUUUACAUAUGAGGAAGCCAGAUAUUAGCAAAGCGAAGGAACUGCUGAUUUGGGAACACAAAAUCCCACUUAAUGAUGAAAUUGGAUUCUGAAUAAAGAUGAAGGUAAAGGGAUGAAAUUUUCCUUUAGGAAGGAGAUUUAUUCUAAUCUUCCAUUUCAGGCUAUGAAGGAAGUUAAUUAGCUUUUAGAAAUGUUACCUUUAGAAGUUUAAUUGUAUAUUGAUUUACAAUAUGAAAAUCAAAGUUAAUUAGCUUUUAAAAAUGUUACCUUU
rnacentral:sRNA from 1 species